UACGUAGGGAGCAAGCGUUGUCCGGAUUUAUUGGGCGUAAAGAGCUCGUAGGCGGCUUAGCAAGUCAGGUGUGAAACCUCCAGGCUCAACCUGGAGACGCCACUUGAUACUUCUAUGGCUUGAGUUCGGUAGGGGUAAGCGGAAUUCCUGGUGUAGCGGUGAAAUGCGCAGAUAUCAGGAGGAACACCGAUGGCGAAGGCAGCUUACUGGGCCGAUACUGACGCUGAGGAGCGAAAGCGUGGGGAGCGAACAGG
rnacentral:rRNA from 1 species